GGCGAACGCUGGCGGCGCGCCUAACACAUGCAAGUCGAACGAGCGAGAGAGAGCUUGCUUUCUUGAGCGAGUGGCGCACGGGUGAGUAACGCGUGAGGAACCUGCCUCAAAGAGGGGGACAACAGUUGGAAACGACUGCUAAUACCGCAUAAGCCCACGACCCCGCAUCGGGUUGAGGGAAAAGGAGAAAUCCGCUUUGAGAGGGCCUCGCGUCCGAUUAGCUAGUUGGUGAGAUAACGGCCCACCAAGGCGACCAUCGGUAGCCGGACUGAGGGGUUGAACGGCCACAUGGGGAGUGAGACACGGCACAGACUCAUGCGGGAGGCAGCAGGGGGGAAUAUUGCACAAUGGGAGAAACCCAGAUGGAGCGGCGGCGCGGGGAGGAAGAAGGUAUGCGGAUUGUAAACUCCUGUUGUUGGAGAAGAUAAUGACGGUACUUAACAAGGAAGUGACGGCUAACUACGUG
rnacentral:rRNA from 1 species